rnacentral:lncRNA from 1 species
GACACAGAAGGAAAAAAAUAUCUGGUUAAAGGUCAACUAGACUGUUGUCUGACGUCACCUGGAGAUGAAGGGAGGGACGUGCAAGGGGGGACCGCUUUCCCAGAACGAGCCUCAAUCCCAUUACAAUCUAUCGGAAAAUUUUGUAGAUGUUUUAUCAGGAGCACUGAUUUUCUUCCCAGAAGGAGGUUUUUAAUUACAUCACACCCAGAAAGGGUCAGUCCCUGAUCAGGUCCGGGUGAUUUUUUUCUCUUCAAUGCUAUUACAGUGAACACCACAUUAUAUUGAUGCACUUCAUGGCUAUUGCAAUUUAAUUAUGUAAUAAUAACGCAUAAUCACAGUGUCACAGUAACUGUAAGAAGGUGGAUAUCAAUCUAUAUGCUUGGCCUAAAACAGGAGCUUAGUAAAUGUUUAUUCAGAGAAUAAAUGCAUAAGUAAAUGAGUGAAUUUUCCAAACAGAGAAGUGAGUGCAUUUGAUCAAAGCUGCUCAAAGUGUGAUCCAAAGACCAGGCAGGGUAGGUGUGCAGACUGCUAUGGAUCACAGCAAGACAAGCACAGAAAUCGAGAGUCCUCCCAGUCGUGUAACUGAGGAGCUGGAGUGUGGUACCAAACAGGGGAACCAUUCUUGGAAGUAUGGUGUCAGGAGCACUGGCGUGGGCCAGUGCCUGAGCUGAAUCUUGACUCUGACACAUGCCAGCUGCCUGACCUUCGGUAAGUUUUCUCAUCUGUACAAUGAGGAUGAUAAAAUUAACUUCAUCUUGGGUGCUUACAAGAAAAUAAAUGUACAUAAAGUACACAGUGCCAGAUAUGUCUGGUUUUUACUAUGGCUUUAAGCAAAGACACAUACACACACACACCCUUCUAGUACAAAGUUCAGUUGACACCCAUAGAUGCAAUUAACAAAUGAGGUUUUAGGGUCCUUGGAAAAUCUGGGAUAGUUACCAUGCUGCCUUUUACACACAGCAGCGUAGGAGUAUAUAUAUUUAUUAGCAUGCUGACAUAAAAAGCUGUUCACUCUAUAGUAAACCUUCAAAAGUAGAGUGAAAAUCAGAUUGUACCAUAUGAUCCUAUUUUUUAAAAAUAUACACAUAAUGCAUAUAAGAAAAGAAUUCUGGAGGUAUCAACACAAAAGAUGAUGUAACAGUGAUUAUCAGAGUGAUUUUAAUGAGUAUCUUUCGCUUUGCUCUUUUUUUUUCUAAUUUUUUUCAACAAUAAUUGUGCAAUAUUUGUAUAAUCUGGGGGCAGGGGAGCAGGUGUAGAAAUACUUAUCUAUGGAAAAUGAUUCUUUCUGAUGGCUUUAACCUGUCCCAACCAGGCUGGCUUGCAGAGUUCCCGCCUCAGCAUUGGUGGAGGAAGGGACCUCCCUUGGGCUCCCCCACCCC